AUGCUAGCAAGGCAAGCAUGGAGACUGCUCCAAAACCCUUCUUUGUUAUGUGCACAGGUGCUCUCAGCAAGAUACUACCCAAAUGGCUCAAUAUUGGAGGCAGUUCCAACUUGUGGCAUCUCAUAUACAUGGCGGAGUAUUCUUAAGGGAGUGGAACUGUUGAAGAAAGGGAUCAUUUGGAGAGUUGGCAGUGGUGAGCAUAUCAAUAUAUGGAGUGACCCUUGGAUCCCAAGGAACAACACAAGAAAGGUCAUCAGCCACAAAGGAAAUAAUGUGAUCACUAAAGUGAAUGAGUUGAUUAAUCCUAUGACGAAUAGUUGGGAUGAGGAUUUGGUGAAGCAAACCUUCAUUCCAGAGGAUGCAAGAAUCAUACUUCAAAUUCCAAUCCAAGAACAUAUUGAUGAUUUUAUAGCAUGGCACUUCGACAAAAGAGGUAUUUUCUCUGUUAAAUUUGCUUAUAGAGUAGCAGUUGAUAGUGCUGCUCGGGAAUCUAGUACAGGCUUAACUUCCAUCUCGAGUGCAUAUGAGGAACACUGCGACUUUGAUAAAGUGCUUCACUUUUUAUGGCGUUUAUCUACAAAUAGCAUACCAGUACGGGUGAAGCUACAAAGCAGAGGUAUGGAGGUAGAUACUCGCUGUCCUGUAUGCUUUAGAUUUGACGAAGUCGGAGGACAUUGUUUUUUUAUGUGUAAGAAAGUGAAGGAGGUGUGGAGGAAAUUAAAUCUGGAGCAUGUUAGACUGCUUUUGGCUGGCUGCACUAGUGCCUUAAGCACCAUAGAACAAAUUCUUAAUCUUGAGGAGGACGUUAAAAUAAAAACAUGUUUGCUUCUUUGGCACUGGUGGCAUAUACGCAAUAAGGCAAACUCGGGUGAAACCUCUAUAUCACCUGAGGAUGUUUGUUGUUCUAUUAAUUAUCAUGUAUCAAGAGUCAUGAAGAGCAAAAAGACUACUAAAGGGCAAAAGCAGCAGAUGGACCAAAAAUGGUCUCGGCCGCCAAAUGGUUUUCUCAAGAUUAAUACUGAUGCAUCUUUUCACAGGGAAACCAACUCCGGCAGCUGGGGAUUCAUCAUCAGAGAUGACCAAGGCAAAGCGAUGGCUGCAGGGGCCAGCAAACUGGCGCAUAUCUCAGAUGUUCUGCACGUUGAAGCUUUGGCUUUAUUGUAUGCUAUAAAAAUAUCUAUUAAUAUAGGAUGUGACAAGGUUUUGUUUAAAACUGACUCCACACAGCUGAUGAGGGCAGUGAACUCUAAAGAUUAUGAUCUAGCGAAUUUAGGAGCUAUUAUCAGGAGCAUAAAAUUCCAAAUGCAUGUGGGGUUUUCUGGUAGUAGUGUUGUGUCUUGCCCUCGGGAUUGUAAUAGGGUGGCACAUGUUUUAGCUGCAUAUGGAGCUAAUUUGGGAGUUGAUGUGUGUGAGACUUGGCUGGGCCAACUCCCA
rnacentral:rRNA from 1 species